CACAUGCAAGUCGAACGAAGUUAGGAAGCUUGCUUCUGAUACUUAGUGGCGGACGGGUGAGUAAUGCUUAGGAAUCUGCCUAGUAGUGGGGGAUAACUUGGGGAAACCCAAGCUAAUACCGCAUACGACCUACGGGUGAAAGGGGGCGCAAGCUCUCGCUAUUAGAUGAGCCUAAGUCGGAUUAGCUAGUUGGUGGGGUAAAGGCCUACCAAGGCGACGAUCUGUAGCUGGUCUGAGAGGAUGAUCAGCCACACUGGGACUGAGACACGGCCCAGACUCCUACGGGAGGCAGCAGUGGGGAAUAUUGGACAAUGGGCGAAAGCCUGAUCCAGCCAUGCCGUGUGUGUGAAGAAGGCCUUUUGGUUGUAAAGCACUUUAAGUGGGGAGGAAAAGCUUAUGGUUAAUACCCAUAAGCCCUGACGUUACCCACAGAAUAAGCACCGGCUAACUCUGUGCCAGCAGCCGCGGUAAUACAGAGGGUGCAAGCGUUAAUCGGAAUUACUGGGCGUAAAGCGCGCGUAGGUGGUUAUUUAAGUCAGAUGUGAAAGCCCCGGGCUUAACCUGGGAACUGCAUCUGAUACUGGAUAACUAGAGUAGGUGAGAGGGGAGUAGAAUUCCAGGUGUAGCGGUGAAAUGCGUAGAGAUCUGGAGGAAUACCGAUGGCGAAGGCAGCUCCCUGGCAUCAUACUGACACUGAGGUGCGAAAGCGUGGGUAGCAAACAGGAUUAGAUACCCUGGUAGUCCACGCCGUAAACGAUGUCUACCAGUCGUUGGGUCUUUUAAAGACUUAGUGACGCAGUUAACGCAAUAAGUAGA
rnacentral:rRNA from 1 species